GAUGAAGAACGUAGCGAAAUGCGAUACGUAAUGUGAAUUGCAAAUUCAGUGAAUCAUCGAGUCUUUGAACGCACAUUGCGCCCCCUGGUAUUCCGGGGGGCAUGCCUGUCCGAGCGUCAUUGCUGCCCUCAAGCACGGCUUGUGUGUUGGGCCCCGUCCUCCAAUCCCGGGGGACGGGCCCGAAAGGCAGCGGCGGCACCGCGUCCGGUCCUCGAGCGUAUGGGGCUUUGUCACCCGCUCUGUAGGCCCGGCCGGCGCUUGCCGAUCAACCCAAAUUUUUAUCCAGGUUGACCUCGGAUCAGGUAGGGAUACCCGCUGAACUUAAGCAUAUCAAUAAGCGGAGGA
rnacentral:misc_RNA from 1 species